rnacentral:lncRNA from 1 species
CAAUUCUUGUGCUGUGGAGGAACUAAGGCUUAGCAACUGCAAUGAUAUAAUUUGCUUGAAGAUACCUUGUCUGCUGCAGAAGCUUGAUAUCCUGGAUGUGCUGGGUUGCAGUAAGCUGGAAAUGAUUGACAGCAAUGCCCCUAACCUCUCCACUUUCUUCUUUGCUGGGCGCCCAAUACAUAUCUCGCUUGGUGAAGCAUUGCAAGUGAGAAAAAUAAGUUUUAGGCGUGACUAUUCACCUGAUGCGCUAUAUUAUGCUAGUACCAAAUUUUCAUUCAUCGCGCCAAAUCUCCAAACUCUUGUGCUAUCAACAAGUAAUGAGGUCAGUUUUAUCCGUCCCAAUAAGUUCAUUGUUCUGGAAAUGAAACUGAUGGUAGAAUAGUAGUUCUAUGUUUACAAUACUCAAUUACUCAGUCCACAAUUAAUCUUCGGGGGAUAUUUAUUUCUUCAGACAGUCAAUACACCAAAGGUGUUUGGCAAAUUCAUCCAGCUCAAGUACUUGGAGAUAGUGGUCUCUACAUCAACGUUUUCCCAAGACUAUGAUCUCUGUUCUCUUAUUUCUUUUCUUGAUGCUUCUCCUGCCUUGGAGUCUCUCAUUGUACGGGUAUGACAUCACUUUGACAAGUUACCAUCUUAAAAACUUCAUAUUUAGGGUGAAAAUCAGUAUAUUCAGUAUAAUUGAAACUUUGUGAUUAUUAUUGAAUAUACACUCUGACAUAUCAUGUAUACCUAUGCAGAUUGCGCAGCCGACAAUAAGGCGAGAUUCAGUUAUUGAAGACUCAAGUGGCUACUCACGUCCACAGUGCCUUCAAGAACAGUGCCAUGACAACCUCAAGAAUGUGAUGAUAACCGGCUUUUGCUCUGCGAAGAGCAUGAUUGAGCUCACGAUCUGUAUUAUCGAGAAAACAAAGGCACUGGCGUGCCUUACACUAGACACUACCCGUGGGUACGAUAGGAGGCAUGUCAAGGUUGAUAAGUGCCUGCAGCUGAAUGAGGAGGCACUUGUGGAGGCUAAAAAGGCCCGCGUUGCCAUUCAGAGAUACAUCGAGGGGAGAGUGCCCCCAGCUGUGAACCUGAAAGUUAUUGAGCCAUGUAGCAAGUGUAUAUGGUGACAAAUGUUAGGUGUUUUUAUGUGUUUUUCCUUUUCCCAAGCUAUGAUUCACAUAGCUUUGCUACUCUCCCUCGUUUAGCUAGUGCUAAUCUCCGUAAUUCUGCCAGAAAGCAUGGUUGUCAAAUCUUUUUUUUUUAUUUAGCAUGUUGGAGAAGUUUUCCAAAUAACCAAAUUCAGGGGGAAAAUCUGCAAUAUUUCAAUAUUUUGUGGGUCCGAUAAAUUUAUUUACCGAAACUCCAUGUAAAUAAUUCUAUCUCAUGUGUUAAAGUUGUGGUAUAUCGUCUUUUUUUUUAACUUGUGCAAUAAUUACGAUGUGUGAUGGAUUAGGGAUAGUUUCUAGUGAAAUCCUGGCAUGCCAAAAAAAAUUAGCAGUGAUUGUAGUUGCCAUUUUUAUCAUGGCCUGGAAGUUUACUACUCGGAUGGGGUGGUUGUCUAUUAAAAAAUACAUUACCGUCAUGUUUCGGUGUUUCACCCGACUCUCUCCACCGAAAUCGCUAAUAGAGUACCGGACACCUCCGUCGCCGCCCACCUCCUCCGUCAUCCUCUUCCUCUCUUGGGUUCCCAUUUCGGCUUUGUUCAGUUAAUCCCCUUCCCAGGGGAUCGGAGGGGAUUGAGGGGGAUUUUGACUUGCAAGGGAUUUAAUCCCUCCCAAUUCCUUUCAACCCUCUCCAAUCCCCUUCAAACCGAAAGGCCUUCUUAUUUAUUCAAUUACGUGCCACUGGACAAAACUGAUUCGCAAGUGAUAGGUCGGCUUGUUCCGUCACUAGAAUAGAUGUUUCACCUCAUCAAGUGUAUUGAAGGGACCAUGACACCCUAAGAGCUCGUUUGGCAACUUAGGCUAGAACUACCCUGGGCAGCACAACCCCCUUCGAUAAAUUAACGGAGUUGGGCAUCCCUGCCCAGACAGGUAGACCCCCCCCCCCCCCCUCCUCCGUUUGGAGCCAAACUCCAGGGGAAGGGCCUCCCACCCAAAUCUUGUGUAAAGAAAAUAGUCCACAAUUCACAAAUACUAAAAAAAUUCAAAAAAUCAGAAAAAUAGCAAUAAUAAAUAAGGUCCAACAAGCAAUAUCAAUCACCAAGUAUUAAGGCACUGCAAGUUAAAUAAAUUCAGCAUAGCACAUCCAAGUCGCAGGCACUGCUGAUUAAGGCACCAGAUAAUUAUUGAUCCAUCAAUUGUUCUUCUAAAAAUUUAGGUAUAUAGUUAAAAUGUUGCAUAUAACAUAUGGAUCAGAUAAUUCAAAGAUACAUAUAGCUCGUAAUGUAUGAAUGCCAACUGAACAAGAAUGGGGUCUACAUAAUGAGCAAAACCUUUGUACAUGAUAUAAAAAUCAAAUGAUCAAAUAUAUACAUAUGCACAUAGAUAUUCACAUGAAUACUCUUUUUGCUAUUAUUACUGGAAAGCAUGACCAUUACAUGCCACUAUCUUAGAAGUUACAGUAUAGUGGAUGGUGUGAUACUAGUAUUGACAAGGUUAAAAUUACUAUCAAGAUAUGUUGCAGAUAUCUGGAAAGAUAUGUUACAGACAAGAGAUGUGACAAGAUAUGUAUUGCACAGACAACUAGACAUGGCAUGUAUCCUACUGAAAUGAUAAUUGAAAAAAGAAUGCUUGCAUGAACCAUAAUUAGGAAUAGCUCGUCAUCCUCUUCUUCCUCCUCUAGCAUGAAUCUUCUAACUUCAUCCUCCCAAGAUUCCAUUAUCUCCUUACUCCUAUAAUAUGCAGAUUCAAGGACAAUAAAAAUUGGACAUGCACCGGAGGUUACUUAAUACUGAGACAUAAAUGUACAUGCACCAAAAAAAUUUAUUUUAUUCCCAAGCACACCAGCAAGAGCAGGCAGCAAUAGAUGCAGCAGACAAGACAGUAGAGUCUAGUGGGUGAGGAAACAGCAAUGCCACCUUCCUGAUGACCAGCAAAUGCUGAAGCAACUGAGAUCCUCCCGUCCUUGGACUCCACAACUACAAUAGAGGGGAAGAUCAUAUAUUGAUUGUAAAUGCAAGAUUGAGAUGUCAACUAGAAUACAUGAAUUGAUAUAGCAUCAGGUUCGUCAAACAAAAAAAAAUUCAAGCACCACUGACAACGACCAAUGCGAGCACUGACUAAAACAAAUGUGCAUAUAGCCAUUCUUGUUCUCAAUGCCUGUGUGCAUUAGCUAUGCAGCUAUGCGCAACAGCUAUGUGGCACCGUUUUGAAUGCAGCACACUAAUUAUUCAGAAUUAGUCACAGUUUUGAAUGGCUGUGUGCAACAGCUAUGCAGCUAUGGACAGUACAAGCGCAUACUUGCAUACUAGCAUCCUCAUACCAGUAGUAUAGGAUACUAUAAAAUCCCUCAAAAAUAAACUUGUUAAAAGUUGUAAUUUUGAAGCUUUGUAUUCUCUCCGUGGAUCACUUGUACUGAAAAGCUUAGUCAGCUAUGACAUUAUUAGUCGGAGAGAUUUAGCAAGCACUUGUCUGAACUUGUUGUGCUAGAUGAUGUGUGAGACAUAUAUUCAGUGCAUCUCGAUAUAUAAGAUUUUAUACUAUGUUCAAAUGUUCAGACUACACACAAUGUUCAGACUACACACACCAAACAUAUAGAUGCAUAUAUGACAUAAUUUGGCCAAGCUACCUGUACCUGUCUGCUUGCUCGUGUUUAGGAGGAAACCAGGACAAGUAAACAACACUAGUUCUGAACAGUGCUGAGUGCACAUUGUAAUGGGGACAACACUAGUUGAAGAAACAAGAAAUCUACAGUUCCCUGGGAGCUGGACCUACAGAAGCAUGAUUCAAAUUUUUUGAGCGAGAGAAUUGGUAAUCUUGGCACAAAAUUGAUCCCAGGACUGCAGGAAAGCAAUAAUCACAUUUGGCAACUGGAUCUCUGCCUAGCCUCUCGGAUGCUCCUCGACGCUCUUCACUAGGUAGAUCCUUUGGCAAAACGCCUAGGGCCUCUCCUCCCUAUCACAACUACCGGCGGCCACUCCACAAAUGCGGUAUAAGGGUCUCGCAAGACUUACAAGCCCUAGAUUUACAACUCUUGGUGCGCGCAAGCACCGAUACAAAGGAGGUGUGCAAACCUCACCUAACUCUAAGCUAAUCCCUAAAGCAAUGCGCUAAUAAGCCUAAACUAGCACUAAUCAAGACUUAAGCCUUAUGCUAAUUGCCUUAAUCUUCUCUUUAGCACUUGUCUGUAUGUGGAAUACAAGCCUUCAGCUUCCCUGAGCUCUAACCCAUCUCAAAUGGUCGGGUAAUGGGGUAUUUAUAGCCCCAACCAAAGAAACUAGCCAUUGCAAGCAGUUGCAACUUUUCUGCGUAGCACCGACUGAUUCGGUGAUGCACAAGAUGUGUCACCGUAUGAAUCCAUAAGUGCCACCUCAGCUAGCCGUUGGGCUCUUACGCACACUGAUGCCUGGGCCCAGGUCACCGACUGAUUUGGUGCCUUUCCUUGACCCUCACCGUAUGAAUCGGUGGGUUCUUCUUAGCCGCUGCCUUCCUCCGUCACCGACUCAAUCGCUGCCCUUCUCCUUGAUCGACCGUAUGAAUUGGUAUGGCUCUAAAAUCACUCCAAGGUAGAAAAAGCCAAUUUUGAGCCGAUCCUGAGCCUAGCCGAUCGCACUGACUGAUCGGUGCUGAUUUGCUGUGCCCACCGAAUGAGUUGGUGGUCACAUUGCACGCUGCCUUGGUCUUGUAGUUGAUCUUUGUCACCGACUGAUUCGGUGCCUUGGCCUUUUACGCACCACAUCAUCCGUUGACCAUAGUCUUAGCCCUGCUAUGGUUCUUCUUGUCACCGACUGAUUGGUGACCACACUUGGUCACCAUCGUAUGAAUCGGUGGUUGGUCUUUCAGCAGGAUUCGCUUCAUGUCUUUGCGUGACUUUGUCCCGACUUAUCUUCUAUGAUGUAUUGGGUUGCUUUAAGGUCUUGUAGGGUGUUGUACUUGUCCUCUUGACAUUUGUUCCAUGUGUUAUAUUCCCAAGUCCAUCACUUUGCAUCCAUGUGAAUAAUCCUUGUAUACUUGCAAACGUUGUUAGUCCAUGGGUUAGUGUUGACACACAAUCACCAAAAUCAUUAAUGGCCUAACUAGGUCCAUUUUCCUUACAUGUAUGAUGGUUCUCAUUGUGCCCAAAAAAAGGGAUCUCAAGUCCAGCUUCUAGAGGAAUUGUUGGUAUUGUUUAUGUGUAUGUAACUGCAAGUGAAAAAACAUCAUAUUGUUGGGUUUAUUUUGGAUUGCACGAAUUUGUAGAGCCAUCUGAUAUUCAAUCAGCACUUUUAGGUCUAGAUUUGCAGUGCAAUUUGUGAGAUAUGUAUGUGCUAUGUGCGUGUAUGGGCCUGGUGUGCAUCACGCCACGGCCCAGGUCGGCUCCCUGUCGUGCCUAGAUAGAUCAGGAUAGGCAGGUUAUCCCUUGAUUGGUUAUGAUUCUAUAAACCUCUCCCAAAAGCUGCCUAUAUAUUUGUAUACCUUGUAUACCCUAAUCAAUCUAUUAUUCCAUGCAAUCUCCAUUGCUUUCUGUUGAUGUCCAAAAGUGGCAGCAAGCUGAUCAGGAUGAGACUAGCCGGUCAGACCGGUUCCUCCAGGCGGUCUGACCGGUCCGGGUCUCUAUAGCCAAUCUGGCACGCGCCUGCCGGUCUGACCGGUGGUCUCGACCGGUCAGACCGGUCACCCCGAAUCCGAGAAGAACCUAGGAGUCCUGGUUGAAUUGGAGUUGAAACGGAACUUCCUUGCGGGAAAAGACCUCCCACCCUAUAAAUAUAAAGGACCUGGCUAAUUGAGUGCUAUCACCCAAUCGACAAACAAAUAUUUUACACUUUUAUCUCCAAACCCUAGCUUUUCCAACCCCUUUGCUUUCCUCCUGCGUCCUGGCGGCAUUUGAGGAUGUUCUGACUGGCCUGACUAAUCUCAGAGCAACCCUAGGCUCGCCAUCUCCGACAGGAUCCCUCCCGAGGUGGUGAACGUAUGCUUUCUUGGUGCCCCUACGAGGACUGGUCUACUAGACCCCCUGACCGGUCUGACCGGCCAGGUGCAGAAGACCCGACGAGGUGAUCUUUCAAUUCACGUGCGAACCAGCGCAUUCGUGUGUUGGCCGGAAAAAGGCGUCAACACAUUUUGGCAACUCAGCUGGGGAAGAAAGAUCUGGUUUUACAACCGUUCUGAAAAACCCUAGCAAGAUGGGAUUUACUAUAGAAAUCGACAUGGACAACAUCAUCACAGCUUCUGUGGAGGAUCUCAGCGAGGAGGAGCAGCGGAACAUCGCGUCACUACAGGAGUAUGUGAAGAACUACUAUCUGUUGGGCCCCAAGAAAGAUCACAAGGGCAAUUUGACGAGGGUACAAGACUUCGAGAUGCCCGCGAUCAAGAUGAAGGACCACAUGUCGAGGAAGUAUGCAACGUAAGUGAUUUUCCACCCGAUCAGUCCAUCUUGAAUGAAGAGUUCCGUAAGAGCCUCGAUCACCAAAAUAAGACUACUGCUUCUUCAAUGGCACAAGUAAGUCAACUUGUAGAGGGUAAAUCUGUUGAAUCUAAUAAAGAUGAUUUUUCUCAAGUUGAUUCACGUGGGGUUGCGCAUGUGAGUCCAUCGGCAAACCUAGGGGCUACUCCUGAAAACCCUAAGUACGGCAUGCCAUUGAACUUCUAUGCAGGACAGACGCCGCCCCGGGUCCAACCGCCAAAGCUGAACAUGGCUGAAGCGGUCAGACUGGUCCAGGCAAGCGGUCUGACCGGUCAGGCUUCCUAGGCCGACCAGUUAGCAAUUGUCCCUGAAUCGCUCGUGCCACUCACUGUUGUGCCUAGUUCGGUUGCUCCAAACCAUACUGGUGAGCUUGGGAUGAACACACCAUCAAUCAGCACAAUAGCGUACACGUCACCCCCGAUCCCUAACACCACUGUAGCAUCUAGGAGUAUUUCAAAUGAUGUGUUUUCUGAUUUGCACCGCAUUCAGAAUGGCAAUCCACCCCACGCGAGUGCUAUGAAUACAUCAGCCUCAGUGCUACCAGAGUCACAUCCCCUUCACGAGAUUAGAAAAUUUAGAGAAGAGAUGUUGGCUAUGAUUCAAAAUAAAUUUGGCAUAGAUACAGGUAGUUCAAAGUUGUAUCAAAAACCAUAUCAUGCUGAUUUUGACUAUGUCCUCUAUCCUGUCAGUUGGCGCAUGCCCGAUUUUAUUACAUUCAGUGGCGAAAUAACCGAACUACUUGGGAGCACAUUAGUCAGUAUUUGGCUCAACUAGGCGAAGCAGGUUAUUAUAAUACUUUGCGGGUUCGCUUAUUUUCUUUAUCAUUAACUGGAACCCCCUAGGCGGGUUGCCGGUCUAAAACACCGACAGCUGGCGCGCCAGGUAGGGGAACUCGUUGAGUUUCUCAGCCUGAAUUCAAUGGCAAAGGUCAUCAUCAGGCCCAUUUUCUUCAUCGAAGUGGGCGCCACCUUCAUUUUCGGAUCCUGGCUUUGCGUCGCCGAUGGCUCGGGUUCGUUCCGGUGCCAGAUCGUUGAUCCUCAGGAGAAGAAACUAGAAGAUCUGAUCGAAAAAAACCAAGAUUUCAAAAUUGACGAGUUCGAGUUCGACUACACAUCGGAUGCGACUUCGCUUCAGACUAAUCGAUCCUAGCUAGUGCCCGAGUCGGUUUCGAUUUCAAAGUGGUUCCCGCACGGAAUCCGCAACGCAACCAAGAUUCACCAAGGCUUUCUUACUCAAACCCGACUUGAACUCGGGCAUGAUGAAGACAUCGACUCCGACUCGUCUUAUUCACUAGAGAUACCAUUAUCUGGUCCAGCCCAAGGAUUGGUAAUAACUUCAACAUCACAAGGCAGAUUCGUCCACUGGCCGGGAUUGCGACCAUCUUUUCUUGACCGCGACUACGACUCGCGCCUUGUCGCCCAUAUAGACAAUCUCCCAUAUCAAGAGGGCGUUCCACUCACUUCCAACCACGAGGAAAGUUCCACAGAGAUUGCAACGUCAAGCUCCGGAAGCUACUACCCGGAUAGGGAGAUACUUGUUAUUACUCAGAAUAACAACCCGGGUACUAGCUAGAACAGAACCCCCAGGUGAUUAUCCGGAGAUGAGUCUACAGCUGACGCCCCUCACAAUGAAACCUCUGAGCAAAGAAACCAAAGGAGGAUGCGCAACGCUACUCGAGCCGAGCGACGGUAGUCGAUGGCUACAAAUAUUCCCAUUACAAAUCUUGAAAGGGCCUUCGACGUAGUUUAGGCUCAGGAGCACAAUACUCCACUCACGGCUAUCGCCUCAAUCAGCCUUUUAACAACGCUGAUGCCUCAGGACAGGGAUAACGAAGCCACAGCUCAACUCGUAUAGCGUGGCAACGGACUAAUCGCACAACUCGUGGAGCAAGCCUACAAGUUACUCGACAAGGAAUCUCCAAUUCCGUCUGUUCCUCGCAUCACAUCUCACCAAGAAGGCAGCCGGGGAGCUGCAGACAACAACAAUGCCCCAAAAAAUAGCAACGAAGUUAACCAACCUCGGCAGCACAGCCAAGGUCCAAGCAAGCACAAGGCCCCAGCUCGCCAUAAGGAUGUUGGCAAGGUCAGCUGCACCAACUCGGUUAAAAGUAUCCGCCCUACUCGGAAGAACCACGAAGUGUCUAGCUUUAGUGAUCUGCAAGAAAUUCUCAACAGUCGGCGUGAACGAGAAGUCGACAACUAAAACCACUUUCCUGCUUUCACAAACCGAGUAAUGAAAAGAAAAUUACCCGAGAAGUUCAAGCCAACCGGAAUCACCAAGUAUGACGACAAACAAGACCCAAUUCAAUGGCUACAAUGCUACUCGCUAGCCGUCCAAGCAGCUGGGGGCAAUAACGACACCAAAGUUAUCCACUUCCCCAUAUGCAUGGAACCCACACCACUGACCUGGCUUGAGUCGCUCAAACCCAAGUCCAUUGACUCCUGGGCAGAUUUGACAAAGGCUUUCACCAACAACUUUGCCGGCUCCAUGGCUAGACCAGGCAAUAAGAUUGACUUAAGUCAAAUCAAGCAAAAGGAAAGCGAGACCUUACACGACUAUUUGCGAUGCUUUUUCGAAAAGAAGGCUACCAUAGUUGACAUCUCAGAAACAGACAUCAUCGAGUGCUUCCAGAAUGGACUCUACGAUCGACGAACAUACCAAGACUUCGGUCGCCGACGACCAGCUAAUGUCAAAGACCUCAAAGUCAUGGUGCAGCAGUGGGCAGAUGAAGAAGAUAAAGAGCGAGAACGGUUCAGCUCCCACCGAAACCGUGGAUGCGACAACAACAAUGACCAAGAUAGAACUCAAAAAAAUGAUACUCGAAACAACUAUUCGAGUAAUCACAACCACAAAAGGAAGCCCGACAACACUGUUGCUGCCAUGACCAACUCCGGGAGAAAGGGACCCCGUAAAAACGACGAAGGGACAACCUUCAUUGAACUACUCAAAAAGCAGUGCCCAUGGCACCCGACUAGCAAGCACUUGACAAUAGACUGCUACAGCAUGCGCCGAGUAAUGCAAGACUUACCCGCACCACCACCUCCUGAGGAGUACACCAAGAAAAAGGAUAAGGGCAAGAACAAAGCCCACAACGAUGAAGACGAAGAAGGCAACUUCCAGACCGCCUCAAAAACUGUCAACGUCAUCUUCGGCGGUAUCCCAGGCACUGCAUCCAAGCGAGCCAACAAACUCGUACUCAGGGAGAUCAUGGCCAUCGAACCAACGGAUCCAACACCAUUAAAAUGGUCAGAAGUGCCUAUUUCUUUCAGCAGAAAAGACCAAUGGACCAAGUUCUCAGAACUAGGCUGUUUCCCCCUAGUACUUGAUCCAGUUGUGGCAGGCUCAAAGUUAACCAAAGUACUCAUCGACGGCGGAAGCGGACUCAACGUUAUUUUCACCAAGACAUUGAGGAAGAUGUGCCUCGACGUUACUGAAAUGCUUACUCCAACAGAUUCACCUUUCUACGGUAUCGUGCCUGGAAAUGCGGUUGUACCACUAGGACAAGUUGUCCUUCCGGUUACCGUACCGAGUACAUCAGAUUUGAAGUCGCUGACUUCAAGACAUCAUACCAUGCCAUACUCGGAAGGCUAGCACUCGCCAAGUUCAUGGCCAUACCACAUUAUGUUUACCUGGUACUCAAAAUGCCAGGCCCCAAGGGAGAACUCACGCUGCGAGGAGAUCUACGGCGAUCCUACAAAUGCGACACCGAAGUCGUAGAAAUUGCUGCGACUACUCAAGCACCUAGUCCCAUGCAACAAUUCUUCACAGCUUCAAAGAAGCUCCAUCCAACCGAAUUAGAGAUCCUAGAAAACAAGUCGGGGUCCACAAAGCUGAAACCUGCUAGUGAGCAAGACUUCAAAUCAGUUGACCUCCAGACGGGCGACCCUUCCAAGACAGCCCUGAUCGAAACAGGGCUAUAUCCUAAAUAGGAAUCCACGCUCGUCAGCUUCCUUCGGGCUAACCACGAUAUCUUCACUUGGAAACCGACUGACAUGCCAGAUGUGCCCAAGGAGAUGAUUGAGCAUACACUCAACGUCGAUCCCAAAGCUACUCCGAAACGGCAACGACUUCGCCGCUUCGCUCAGGACAGACGAGAAGCAAUCAGAAAAGAGUUAGCCAAGUUACUUGCGGCAGGGUUCAUCAAAGAAGUCUGUCAUCCUGACUGGCUCGCCAAUCCCGUGCUCAUUCGUAAGAAAAACAACGAGUGAAGAAUGUGCGUCGACUAUACCGACCUCAACAAACACUGCCCAAAAGACCCUUUUGGGCUACCCAGGAUUGAUCAGGUGGUCGACUCCACCGCUGGGUGCGCUUUACUAUGCUUUCUCGACUGCUACUCUGGCUAUCACUAGAUAAGCCUCAAAGAAGAAGAUCAAGCCAAAACAACGUUCAUCACGCCUUUCGGAGCUUUCUGCUACAAAACAAUGUCCUUCGGACUAAAAAAUGCAGGGGCAACCUAUCAAAUGGGCAUACACAUGUGCUUCGAAAAGCAACUUCACCGUAAUGUUGAAGCUUAUGUCGACGACGUAGUCGUCAAAACAAGAAACUGGGAGGAACUCAUUACGGACCUAGAGGAAACUUUCUCUAGUCUACGCGCUUUCCAAUGGAAACUCAAUCCUACUAAGUGCGUCUUUGGAGUACCUUCCGGCAAAUUACUCAGGUUCAUCAUUAGCCAUCGCGGCAUUGAGACCAACCCGGAAAAAAUAUCUGCCAUCACAAACAUGCAGGCACCAGCUAGCAUUAAGGAUGUGCAAAAACUCACAGGCUGCAUGGCCGCUCUCAACCGGUUCAUCUCGACACUUGGAGAACGGGGACUACCCUUCUUCAAGCUUCUCAAACGCCAGGACAAGUUCAAAUGGACGGAAGAGGCAGACGAGGCACUAACACAACUCAAAGACUUUCUGUCAAAGCCUCCGAACGAAGACUUACUCCUAUACAUCUCAGCUACUACUCAUGUCGUCAGCACGGCAAUAGUAGUCGAACGGUCUAAACCGGGCCACGCUUAUAAGGUCCAACGACCUAUCUACUUCAUUAGUGAAGUACUCUCGGACUCCAAAACUCGGUAUUCACCGAUACAAAAACUCUUAUACGCAAUUUUGCUCACCUCCCGAAAACUGCGCCAUUACUUCCAAGAGCACAACAUCACAACCAUCUCCGACUUCCCGCUCGGCGAAAUUCUCCACAACAGAGAUGCCACGGGUAGAAUCUCCAAAUGGGCAGUUGAACUCGGAUCUCUCACCUUGGACUUCAAGCCAAGGACAGCUAUCAAAUCCCAAGCUUUGGUCGACUUCGUAGCUGAAUGGACUAAAAAUCAAGUGCCAACACCAGUCGAACAGCCAGAACACUGGGUAAUGUACUUUGACGGAUCCCUCAAACUCAAAGGGGCCGGCGCAGGCGUAUUACUCAUCUCCCCAGGGGAGACCAGCUCAAGUACAUGCUGCAAAUAUUCUGGGAAGCAUCUAAUAAAGAACCCGAGUACGAAGCACUACUCCACGGCCUUCGCCUUGCAAUCUCCCUCGGCAUCAAACGACUACUGGUGUAUGGCGAUUCUCUAGUUGUUAUAAACCAGGUCAAUAACGAGUGGGACCGGAACAAGGACAACAUGGACGCUUACUGCAAAGAAGUCCAUCAACUGGAAAACAAGUUCUCAGGCUUGGAAUUUCAUCACAUCGUCCGCGACAACAACGUUGCCGCUGACGUCUUAUCUAAAAUGGGCUCAACUCGUGCAGAGGUUCCAGCAGGAAUUUUUGUACACGAAUUGCGCAAGCCGUCCAUAUCUGACCAAGUCACACCGCCAGCAGUCCCGACUGCUGACAUCUCUUGAGAAGUCAUGAUGAUAGAAGUUGACUGGAGGACACCCUUCAUCGACUACAUCAAAGAUCACCAGUUACCAUCCAACAAAAAUAAGGCUGAGCAAAUCUCCCGGCGAGUAAAAAAUUACAUACUAGUCGGAGACAAGCUCUACAGGAAAGGUGCAUCAUCUGGGGUACUCAUGAAGCGCGUUACCAGAGAAGACGGUCAUGAAAUCUUAGAAGAAAUUCACAAAGGAAUCUGUGGCAACCACACCUCUUCGCGAACAAUAGUUGGCAAGGCUUUCAAAGCAGGCUUCUACUGGCCAAUGGCUCUGGCCGACGCUAAACAACUAGGUCAGAAAUGCAAAGGUUGUCAAUUCUUCACAAAACAGCAACAUGUACCGGCCUACAAGCUAGUCACAAUACCUCUAACAUGGUUGUUUGCCUACUGGGGGCUCGACAUGAUAGGGCCGUUACCAACUGCGCCAGGAGGAUUCAACCGAGUACUCGUGGCAAUCGACAAAUUCACCAAGUGGAUCGAGGUCAAACAAGUCACUUGCCCCAAGGCAGACCGAGUCCUCAACUUCUUAGAUGAAAUCGUACACCGCUACGGUUUUCCCAACAAGAUUAUCACAAACCUAGGGUCAAACUUCAACAAUCACGACUUUUGGGAAUAUUGCAAGAAUAGCGGCAUCGACGUCCGCUAUGUCUCAGUCGCUCACCCACGAGCCAAUGGACAAGUCGAGCGUGCUAAUGGCAUGAUACUCGACGCCCUGAAGAAAAGACUACAUGACGUUGGCAACACUAAAGGCGGCAAAUGGCUCAAAGAGUUACCCAACGCUUUCUGGGGCUUACGUACCCAACAAUGCAAGACUACUGGGCUAUCACCCUAUUUCCUUGUAUAUGGCUCAGAAGCCAUACUACCUACCGACAUCAUGUGGCAAUCACCCUCAGUUGAACAAUACGAUGAAGCACUGGCAACAGAAACAAGGCGAACAGAUAUAGACAGUCUAGAAGAAACAAGAUGCGCAGCUCUAGUGCAAUCUACCAGAUACCUUGACGGUUUAAGGCGUUACCACGACCGCAACAUCAAGGAAAGAUCUUUCAACUUGGGCGAUAUGGUCCUUAAGCGUAUCCAAGACACAUCAGGGUUACAUAAACUCAAUUCACCAUGGGAAGAUCCUUACAUCAUGUCAAAGGUUACGGGACCUGGAUCUUACAGACUCCAUGAGUUUUCAGGAGAAUAAGUACCAAACUCUUGGAAUAUAGAACAUCUUUGUCGCUAUUACCCAUAGCAGCAUCCGAGUAAUCGCUUCAAGGCAAUAACUCCUGAUGACUACUCAGGCUAACUGCCCGUCUACCGACUUCAAGAUACCUCAGCUUUGACAAGAGUUAUCAACUCAACAAGGAUCACUGCCCUGGUACAGAAUUUCCAUAAAGUAUUUCUUUACUGAACCGAAGAUACAUCAGGUUACAUACGAGUACAAGUACUCGAAAUACACGAAGACUACAAGCAACUGCCUACUGGCAAGCUGCAUUUAAGCCUCAGGCUUUUACUAUAUCACAAGGCCACUCAGGUUUGCCGACUAUAGUAGGAAGGGCCUACACGCAAGGAAGCUGCGCAAAACGCAGCCAUAUCCAGGUCCUCUACCCAAGGCAACGCCAGGAACUCCUGCAUCGCCACUACCUUGACAGCGGCAACGAUGAAUCCAGCGCGACGCGCCUAGAGAGAACCAAGGCUGCUCUUUUGCUAGCCUUGCGGAGCCAAUCCACUCUACGGCCACACCUCCACCUCUAAGAGAGUGGAAUAAAGACCGCGGCACUCAUCACCCCUCACCCGCGAGUUCCAGUGCGUACCCCACUGGAUCACGAGCUGCAAGAUGAGGCGUGUGAUGAAACCUCCUACAAGGAUUCUUCUAGCAUCGCGGCUAUCCCUACGAGCGCAGGAGUCUGUGGAGGGAAGGUGGCCUCAAUCUACGAGGAAUCUUCUAGCACCGGUGCACUCUUUGAUGGCUCUCUACACUCAAAACAAAAGCAACCAAAGGCAAUCCAUUGCUACUCAGAAACUUGGUUUGGUUCGCUCUCCAGAUGGCUCUAUUUAUAGCCGAAAGACGCAACUACCACCUGCCCAAGAGUUACUAUGCGCCAGUGAUCAAUGAGUCUGACGACUCCUUACUCUUUCCACGUGAUGGUACUUAUGCCACAAAGGAAAAAAGAGUACAGUAUACCCGCGCAUCCACAAAGGACAAAAGAGUACAGUACACCUGCGUACCCUCAAAAGCAGAGUACUCGACAGCAUCAUGACUACUCGACACUUGGAACUACUCCAAGCCAAGCGCGGCCUUUGCCCACACCAUUAUCUUGGGGGCUCGGAAUAUUCCGACCCUCUGCUCAGGGGUCGGGUACACCCAACUCUAAGACUUAGGGUCGGGCGAGGUGAAGCUUCCCCCCUUAAAGGGGUCGAGUGCACCCGACCCCAGGACUUAGGGUCGGGCGAGGCAGAGUUCCCCCCCCCCCCCAAAGGAUCGGGCUCAGCCGACCCGGGGACUUUGGGUCGGACAAGAUAGAGUAAACCUACUCUUCGCAAGAUAAUCCCUUCAACCAACAAGACCAAUGGGCAAGUAUUCAUUUAUCAAAAGUAUUGUUCAAAGUACUCGACACAGAUUCACGAGUACAUAAAACGCUCAAGGCUCUUCUGGAGAGACGAACUUCGACAUCUUCGAUGUGAUAGGCUCCGCCUCCUUGAGGUAUUGCGCAUAUGCUUCUUCUGUGCAGUUGCGAGCCACACAGUCACCAACCGCCGCCAAGUCUGCCGUCGGGUACUAGGACUUCACGACUGCAAGGACCUAUUUGCAAACAGCUUUGUAGAGUCCUGCCACUUUACUCGGGGCAGCCUUCAAUCACUCGACUAGUGAUUGUGGCCCUGCGCCUUCUUCCACGGGGGCUAUGGCGUUCACCAAGUCUUCAGCUGCUACAGUUAGCUCCUGGAGUUCGCCUUGAAGUCUUCCCAUGGUCUGGGCAUGAUCUCUGCAUGCCACCAUGGCCAUGGCAAGCAUCACGCCAUUCUGCAUCUUCCUGUCCCGCUGAUGCUCGCAAGCAGCCUGUGCUUCCGUCAGCGCGGCCCGAAGACGUUCAGCUUCAUCCGCCACUCGGUCGUGCGCGUUUCUCCAGUUGAGAACUUGGCUCCUUGCAGCCGCCUCUUGCUUCUUGAGCUCUACAAGACAAAAACAAGUUCAACCACAGCCGACUACAAUCGGACAUACUCGGAGUAUGCAGAGUACUUGCCUUGAUACUUCUUGUUCAGCGACUUGUUGCGGCUCUCCAGUUUUUGCUACAGGACCGCGUGAUCCGUACGUUCCAAAGCAAAAGACUUUGCUCCAACCUCGUGAACCCUUAGAGCUUCUGUCAGUCGGGCACAUUCCUGCUCCAAUUGAUGACUUCGUUCUUGAAAGGGCCCGAGUAAACAAGGCAAUACGGUCAGUUAAAAGCCUCACAGUUACUUGAUCUAUGUGACAAUUCAAAAGAAAUUUACCUGGAAGCUCCGGAAAACAUCGACGGCCCUCUGGAACUCCAAGUCAGAUGGCAGGCUGAGCACUAGUCUUUGAGUACUCUUCGCAAGAUGAGGAGUUGUACCCAAAGUGGCACCUGCAACAUUUAUCAUGUCAACUGCUUGCUACGACUACAAUAACAAGACUAACAGAGACAUACCUGGAGCAGUCGCCUCUAUGACUUUUUCAACACCUACUACGGCCAGCGAUCCGCUAGUGGAUGUUGAUAAGGCAGCACUUCCUGAACCCAAUGCAGCGGCGGGAACCUCCACCGAACGGAUGAUGUCUUGAAGCAUCGACAUAGUAGCCCCAAGACGACCGGCAUCAACUUCGGGUACCUCCUCAACAAUUAAAUCCUCCAAAGGAGCAGAUAAUGUAGUCGGGGGAUCCGACUCUACCCCUCUCCACAGGGAUAGUCUCAUCCGCAUCCCUACAUCAAAAAAUGUCAUUAUACGACUUCAAGACAACUUAAAGAUAUACACCGGCUAAACAAGCUCACCAAGUCGAGCCUGGCAAAAAUCGCACACGUUUCUUCUCGACAACAGGUGGUCGAGUAGUUGGCGCCGCAGGAACAGCCGCCGGCGUUGUCUUCUCGCCAAGACCUGUAAAGCAAAAGUCAAGACUACAAUUCAACUCAGACAAAAGAAACUAGCCGGGGCAGAACACUUACCACUGGCGAUCACAUUGGACAGUAAAGAAACGGUAGCGAGUACUGGCAACACCUCCUUCGCAACAUCUGCUGCUCCAGCGGGCAACCCCAGGACUGCCUCGUCAAUAACGGGCAGCAUGGCAGCCGACGGAGCCCGUGCGGAUAGCUCGGAGGCUACUCCAACUUCUGUUGAUGGCACCUUCUCUGGCACCAUGUCAACAGAUAUAUUACCGACAUCCGAGUCGGUCAUGACUACUUCUUCAAAAGCAGCCUCAUCAUUACCAAGGGUCGUUUCAACAGCCUUUAUGAACAAGAUAAUUUAGUCACAACAAUAGCAAGUUCAAAUUCAUCAGCUACAGAUAAGUUCACGACUACAUACCUUGGUACCCCGAGACUUCUCAGGGGUUGAAGCAGACUUAGCCGCAGAUAUCUUGCGGACUACUCUGCGCUUCUUGGCAGGAGGAGAGGGUUCGUCCUCUGAAUCCUCGGCAACAGUUUCUGAUUCUUCUUCUGACUGUGGCAAGUAGCCGGCAAGAACUCGAGACUGCAAAAAACAAGUCGAUAUUAACAACAAAUAUCACACAAGUGAAAAAGUACAAAUCAGGUGCAAAGACAUACCACUUCUGGCUCAUACCAAGCGUCAUACUGACGAAGAGCCGCAGGGAUUACUAGUACUCCCUGAUAGUUCCUGAAGAACUUGGCCAGCAGUGCCUCUACAUCAUCAUCGGAUAUAUCUUCAUUGGACAUACGCGAUGGAUCCUUAAGACCUGUGUACUCACUUCCUGAGUGAGCACGAUGUUGAAGCGGCUGGACCCUUCUCUUCAGAAAGCUGGCCGCCACAUUGAUUCCAGUUAGACUGAGUGCCUUCAACUCGGUAAUCUGUUGCAUCAGAUGAUCGAGCUCAGGGGUGUCUUCGGGUUUGCUCACCCAGUUUUCUGCAUGCUUGGGCGCAUGACCAGUCACCACAGGCAAGCGAGGAUUGUGGUUCCCAAUGUAGAACCACCUUUUCUUCCACUCCCCAUGGGAGUCAGUCAAGUUCUACUCAAUGUAUGCGCCCGAGUUCCUGAGUUGGAACCCAGCGCCUCCAAAGACUUCUGUUCUAUGGACACUUGACUGUGGCUUACAGCAGAAUAGUUUCCUAAACAACUCAAGACUUGGAGGAACUCCCAAAUACACUUCACAGAGUUGUACAAAUAUCGACAUAUGCAGUACACCAUUGGGGUUCAAAUGCACAAGUUGAAGGUUAUAAUAGUCGAGAAUAACUCUGAAGAAGUCGGAGGUGGGCACUGCCAACCCCCUCUCCACAAAGUGCGCAAGCAUCACGGUCUCGCCUGGAUGUUCCUCAAAUUGCCACGCAUUUAGAAAUGUGGGGCGCCACUCAAGAAUCUCUUUCGGCUGCAGAAGCUUCGCAUCGACUAGUGCUUGCAUGGCUUCCUCCUUCAUCACCGAAUGUUGCCACGUUGCUCCAGGCAGUGGUGGCGCGGUCUGGUUCGUCAGCCCCACCUUCGGCGCCGGACAUACCAGCUCUUUCACCUUCUUGGAUUUCACCUUGCCCGUCGCCAGAGCCUUGCCCUAGUUCUUCUCGGGUUUCUUGCCCAUCUUCUUGGUGCGCAUUCGAUGGACUCAACCUCAAUCUAGAACGGCACUCUCCCUCAAAUCUCUCUCAAGGGGCAGCAAUGGCGGCGGCGGCACUGGCGGCGGCUAAAAUGUGGAGCAGGAGGAUAGGGGAGGCAGAAGAACAUAUCUAAUUACCGUGCGGCGUAAAACCAAUUGAAAGGGGGCCUUCCAGUUUUAUCUCUGCCAGCUCCGGUUUCCACGCGUGAGUUACGCAACGGACGGAUUCUAAUAGAUUAAUUGCAGAUUAAUCGCCUUAACACUCAACGGCUACUCUUUUGAACAGACUGCUGACCACUUCAAUAACAGAGAUCGCCUAAGUGCUCGGGGGCUGCGGGUACCGUACCCGUUGGUCGGUUUUUUCUUUUUCAAAGAUUUCCAAGGGUAAAACAGACAAAAGACUGGUUUGACCCUAAGCUUGACUCUUCGACUCAACCUAAGGCUCGGAGGCUACUCCAUAUGGAGUGCGAUUGACAUCGCACUACCAUAUAAAAUCUCGGAACAGAAGCAACUCGAAGGAAUAAAAAGAGUACCUUCCAGCCACGCAACAGUACUCGAGCACUUCGGUCUGCAAACUCUACGACUAGCUACUCGAAUAGUGCUCACAGUGCCCAAGACUGUGGCGCACGACUACAAAGUACUUGGGGGCUUGUCGGGCAUACACCCCAGGCCCACGAGUAGAUCUUGGACGGCCCACUAAGGGGCGUACUCGAACACGAUCAGAACAAGGGAUAGGCGUAUCCCAUUCGGACUAGUCAAGUGUGUAUAUGGAAAACUACUCGGGCCUUACCAAGUAUAACUCUGUAAUAGUACUCGACUAGGACUCAAGACAUGUAACCCUGCCCUCCUGUGUAUAUAAGGGUGGGCAGGGACCCCCCCUCAACAACAACUCCAGUUCAUCAAUACAAACCAACACACAGGAUGUAGGGUAUUACGCGAUCUAGCGGCCCGAACCUGUCUAAAUCGUGUUCCCUGCGUCCCCAUUGAUUCCUUGAUUCUCGACGAUCCUUAUCGCACAAAAGACCUCCUAGGGUACCCCGUAGGCGGGUUGCUGGUCUAAAACACCGACAUGGCCUUCUAAAGCUAAAUCAUAUUCUUGUGCCUCUCUUAAGCUACGCACAAGAGUCGGCAAGAAGAAGUGAAAUUUACUUUCGAUGUUUCCAAUUGUGAUCAUAUUUUUGAUGAAUUGCUUAAACUUGGACAUCUGAAAAUAUCUCAUACUAUGCCUCCACUUGAAGAGCUCAAAAUUACUGUAAAAGCUUCUGGACAUCGGGGGCAAGCGGCGUCCUCAGUAUCUGGUCAAAAACCGCUCGAGUUCGCUGGCCAGAGCGAACCGGUCGGACCGGUGCAGGGGACCGGUCAGACCGGUCAGCCCCAGGACCACCCCCGGAUGCUGAAACCAAAGCGUCCAGAAAUUGGGACUUGGAAGCUCAAUGUGGCAAAAGAUCAGGGGAGCAGCCCCAGGGAAAAGGUCACCUUUGACAUGCUUCUGGACAAAUAUUUCAAGCAAAAGGCCGUUACAAGUGAUCGACCGGUAAAAAAGAGAAUGAGGUCACCUAUUCAUCAAGGGAGACAAAGUUCACUACCGAGCGCAGUUACAAGAUAGAGGAGUGACCAAGUGCAACCAAGGCAGUACCCCUCCACAUCUUGGGCUCCUCCGGUGUCAAAUCCUCAAUGCUCGGUGUGGGAUCACAACGGGGUAAUGUGGGUGCCUUACUAGUUUGUGCAGCAGCCGUCUUUCCAUCCUGGAUGGGAAGAAUUGAGGAAGUCAGCUUUGGAUAGGAUCUCACGCCCCAUGCAAGGCCGUUGGGCACUCCGCUCAUCCGGUCAGGGUUCACAGACCCGACGAGUCAGAUCGGUCCAUACCAACCGGUCAGACCGGCCUGUCCAGGCACCUAGGAUGCCUCCUCCAAAGCAAGUGUAUCAUACCAAGUGGAAGGAGGAGGACAAUCAGAAGAUGGAAAUAGACUCAGGUAAAAGCGUAGAGAAAGCUGUUAUUUAGAUUGUUUCUAUGGACGUUCCUGUUGAGACUCAUGUGAGAGGACCGAUUGCAACAAGCAAUCUAGUCAAGUCGUCUGUUCAGAGGGUUCCUACUGCUAAUGAUCAUGAGGCUAGUAGCAGUGGGUCGAGCUCCAAGUAUUUCUUGCCAAGGUGGUGUCCUCCCGGGUUGACUCGCACAUAGAGGAGGAAGUUGCAGAGGCUGAGGCUACAAGAGAAGAGGGAACAGGAGCUAGAGAAACAAAGGGAGGACACGUUUAACGCCUAUAGACCCAUGGUCCCUCAAAAGGAGGAGUGGAGAGUCAAGGCCGAUGCCUCAGCUCCAUCAGUCAGACCGGUCGAGGAACCGGUCAGACCGGUCAAGGCGUCUGUGCCAGCACCUGAAUUGGUCAGAUUGGUCAAGGAUCUAGUUAGACUAGUCGAGCUAGAGUUGCCGCUUAGUUUCGCUCCUUCUAUCCCUAGGCUUGUGACAAUAAGUUGGCAUCAGUCCGUGAAUCAAAGGAUGAUGAACAGCUUGUUGAUUACAAUACUUUGCCUGAGAGCAUGAACUUGGAUAUAAAUGUGAUUCAUAUGUCGAUGAAUGGUUAUGUGAUCUCGGAGGAUGAUUUGGCUCACCUUGAAUUUGGGCCUAAGGAGGCUAUGUUCCAGAAGCCUAAGGCUACUGAAAGUCACCUGAAAGCACUAUACAUGAAAGGACAUAUCAAUAGGAAGCCAAUCUCUUGGAUGCUGGUUGAUGGAGGGGCUAUUGUUAACUUCAUGCCCUAUUCUUUGUUCAAGAGAUUGGGACAUUCAGAUGAGGAGUUGAUCAAGACCAACAUGACUGUCAGCGGUGUGGGAGGAGGCGAGCCUAUGAGAGCUAAAGGUGUUGUCUCUAUGGAGCUCACCAUUGGGAGCAAGCUGUUGGCUACCUCUUUCUUCUUCGCCGAGACCCAAGGUAACUUCAGUUAAAUAUUGGGGCAUGAUUGGAUACAUGCGAAUCUAUGUGUCCCUUCUACUUUGCAUUAAUUCUUAAUCCAAUGGGUCGGAGAUGAAGUGGAGAUCGUGCAUGGUGAUACGUCGGCUUUUGUUUCUGUAGCCGAUAGUUCUACCAUAAGCGCGUAUGAUAAUGUUAAGUACUUAUCAGGUGUAGAUCUUUCUGAUUGUGAGUUUAUUAGUUGCACAAAGGAUGGCUUUGUCGCUGCUAUAUUAAAGCCGGUUGAGGAUUGGCUAUCUUAUCGCAUAUGAUGUAAUGGAUGUAAAUCUAGAAUGGUUGCAGCAGAGGCUAGAACACUAUCGGGUGCAGAAGAAUGAUAUGUGUGAGGCCAUUAAGAACCUUAAUGAUAUGAGUAAAUUAGGACAAGGGUUUAUGUCAGUCGAUCCUUUAGAGGAAGUGGAUAUUGGUGAUGUUAUUGUACCAAAGCCGACAUUUUUAAACAAAAAUCUUGAGCCUGCUUUUAAGGCCGAUUUAAUAAAGUAGUUAAAAGAGUAUGUCGCUGUUUUGCAUGGAAUUAUACUGAAAUAUCUGGUUUAAGCCGCGAGAUAGUUGAGCAUCGGUUGUCCAUUAAGCCUGGUUUUAGGCCUCACAAACAACCUGCUAGUCACUUUAAUCCUGUUAUUUAUGACCGAGUGAAAGAAGAAAUCAUUUGGUUGCUUGAUGCUAAGUUUAUUAGGCCUUAUCGAUAUGCUGAUUGGGUUUCUAAUAUUGUGCCUAUUGAAAAGAAAGGUAUAGAUAAGCUCAGAGUAUGCAUUGAUUUUAGGGAUCUUAAUAGAGCUUCACCAAAAGAUGAAUAUCCUAUGCCUAUAGACGAUGUGCUUAGUAAUGCUGCAUCUAGACAUACAAUGAUUAACUUUCUUGAUGGCAAUGCUGGAUACAAUCAAAUCUUUAUGGCCGAAGAGGACAUAUCCAAAACGGCCUUUGUGUGUCCAGGAUUUGUUGGUUUGUUUGAGUGGAUAGUUAUGACUUUUGGUUUGAAGAAUGCUGGUGCUACUUAUCAAAGAGCUGUGAAUUUGAUUUUUCAUGAUUUUCUUGGGGUAGUGCUGGAAGUGUACAUCGAUGACAUUGUGGUAAAAUCGGUCGGGCUAGGAUACCAUUUGGCUGAUUUGAGGCUUGCAUUUAAGAAAAUGUGUCGAUAUGGUUUAAAGAUGAAUCCACUCAAAUGUGCUUUUGGUGUAUCGGCUGGGAAGUUCUUGGACUUUGUAGUGCAUGAAAAAGGUGUUGAGAUUGAUCCUAAAAAAAUUGAAUCUAUUAGACAACUACAAGCUCCAACUUGCAAAAGAGAGUUGCAGAAAUUCUUGGGCAAAGUGAAUUACUUGAGAAGUUGAGAAGGUUUAUUUGUAACUUGUCCGGGAAGGUGAAUGCUUUUACUCCUUUACUUCGGUUGAAAAAUGAGGAUGAUUUCACUUGGGGGGGGGGCAAGACAGCAAGAAGCAUUUGAGGAAAUCAAGAAUUAUGAAUCUUCACCACUCAUUCUUCAGGCACCAAAGCAUGGUGUUCCCUUUAAAUUAUAUGUGGCAGCCAAAGAAGGUGUUAUUGGGGCUGCUUUGACUCAAGAGACUGAAGGGAAAGAGCAUAUUGUUACCUAUGUGAGUAUAAGCCUAUUGGAUGCCGAAACAAGGUACACUUUUAUUGAGAAGUUGUGCUUAUCAUUAUAUCAUGCUUGUACCAAGUUGAGGUAUUAUUUGUUAUCAAAUACUUGCAUAGUGGCUUGUCAAACCGACAUAAUUAAAUACAUGUUGCAAAAAUCUAUUUUGAGUGGUAGAAUUGGCAAAUGGGCUUAUGCUCUCAUUGAAUAUGAUCUAGUCUGUGAACAGUUGAAAUCAAUGAAGGGUCAAAUUGUAGCCGAUUUUAUUGUUGAGCAUAGAAUUGAUGAGCAACUUGAUUUAAAUGUCGGUUAUAUCACUAUUACCCCUUGGAAAUUGCACUUUGAUGGAUCGGUUUGCAAAAAUGGCUGUGGUGUUGGUGUGGUGCUUAUUUCACCAAACAGAGUCGUGUUUGAGUUUCUUAACCAAUUGGAUCACAAGUGUACUAAUAAUCAAACUAAAUAUGAGGCUUUGCUAUUUGGUUUGGAGAUUUUGCAAGAGAUGGGGGUAAAACAUGUUGAAGCUUAUGGAGAUUCCUUACUGGUGGUAUAGCAAGUAUCCAAGGUAUGCCAAUGUUUGGAUGGAUUCCUAAAUUCUUAUCUUGAUAAAUGUCUAGACAUCAUAUCUUGCAUGGAUGAAUUUACUAUUUAUCAUGUACCACGGGAAGAGAAUCCGAGGGCUAAUGCUCUAGCACAACAAGUGUCUGGCUAUAGUAUUCAGAAAUGAAAUUUUCACAAAAGAAAGCUAACGCUUUACGAGGCCGAGGGUUAUGUCCUGGAGGGACCGGUCCAACCGGCCUCCAAAACCGGUCUGACUAGUCCAGCCGGUCUGACCGCCCAAACAGCCAGUCUGACCGAUCUGGCUGGUGAGAUUCCCGCUUCGGCCAUGGAUUGUUCCAAAUUGGCUAAGGACGAAGUGGAUGACUGGAGAACACCUCUGAUUGAUUAUUUACAGAACCCUAAGUGUUCAGUUGACAGAAAAGUCCGACGGUGGGCACUCAAGUUCACUUUUAUGGAUGGUGAGCUGUAUCGUCGGACGAUUGAUGGGUUGCUUUUAAAAUGCUUGGGUUCUGAUCAGGCCAAAAUAGCCAUGGCAGAGGUGCAUGAAGGAGUUUGUGGUACGCAUCAAUCAACUUGUGUGAUGAAGUGGCUAGUUUGUGGUAUGCAUGAAGGCAAUGUGGAGCAAUCAGUUGCCGAGGGAGGCAAUGAUGUGCAACAAGGUGAGGUAUAGCAAGUAUUAUAUGUAAACAUUAUUUGAAUUCUCUUCUUAUCAAAAGAAACAUCAUCACACAACAUUCCAAUCACGCAACAUUUCAAUUGUCAUUUUUUAGCCAUCUGGAUCGAGCAGAAGGCCUCAAAAGAAAUGAGGCAAGAACAAGAAGUUAGAGGGUCGUAUCAUCAUCAUAAAAAUUGCUGAAGAUGGUGAACCGAUUGCUCCUGCCAAUGCUAAAACAAAGAUGGUGAAUCAGCUUCGGUUCCUUGUCAGAGAUAACAUCCCAAUCAGCUUUCAGAAUUGGAAAAAACCUGACAACGUCCCGGUCGGCACAAACCCGCUCCUUUACGUACCUGACCGAGAGAAGGCUAUGAUAUGGGAACAGCUAAAAGAUAACUUCACGUUUGAAAAUGUAGUCGAAGACAAAUUGAAAUAAUGGGGCUUGAAGAAGGCUACAAUUGCAUUUUAGACGUACAAGAAAAUCUUGAACAAAGAUUACAUAAAGAAGGGGCUUGCAUCUGAUUUCAAUAAACACCCAAAGAUAAGGGAUCAUUGGGAUUCUUUUGUACAGUUCAAGGAGACGAGCAAGAGCUAGUCGUUAACUCAGACCAACAUCGGCAAUGCCUAGAAGAAGCAAUACUUCCAUCAUCUUAGGACAGGAGGUUACAAGUCGGGGGCCGUGAAAUGGCAAAGGAUGGAAGAUGACCUAAUUGCUAGGGGAAUAGUACCAUAUACUCUCGAAUGGCCUGAGCAAGAAAAGAAUUGGUUUUAUGCUUAGGGCGGGAGGCUCAAUCCCGAAGAUGGAUCAAUUGUGUUCGGCAAUGAAAUAAGAGAAGCGGCUAAGAGACUUGAUGACUUAGUCAAGAAAAUGACCGAUGGAUCCUUCAUGCCUGAUCGAGAGAGGGACAAGCUGACAAUGGCACUUGGAAAUCCUGAACACCCUGAACGAUGCCGAGGCAAAGGACUCAUUCCGUGGAAGUUUGCCUUUCGUGAGCACAUUGAAUCAUAUAGAAGUUGCCAAACAAGCAAGGCUGACCAAGCACGACAGCUCCGAGAGCUGCAAGAACAAGUAGCAGCAUCAGAGGCAAGAAUGGCGGAAAUAAUAGACCAGCAUGUGGCCCUAGCUCUGAGUAAAAAUUCCAGUGAACAACCAGCUGCUUCAGCAUUAGGGCCACAUGUCGACGUAAGCCCGACUCAGCGUCGAAGCAGUGUCGCUUCCAGGAAGCCGUAGCUGGAGGAUCCACUAAGAUCAUUGAGGAACGCCACCCCAUGGAUGACAUCACAAGGAGAGCCCUUUGUGAGCUUGUUACUCCCGUGAGAAACAAGCUCAUAGUGGUGGCUUAUGGUGUGGUUGAGCAACCAACGCAAGGCCAAACACUAUAUAGCGUGGAGAUUCAAGCUCGCUAUGCCAAGGUUGGGGUGGACUGAGUGGCCGACGGUUGGGAGGACCUGGAACUGGAGAUCCCUGAAGGUGACGGGGAAAAGAAUUUAGGAGAAGCUAUCCAUGGUUGGAUUCAGUGGUCCAAGCGCUACAUAAGGAUUACAGUGCCAAAUCCCCCAACCUUGGGAUCAUCUCCUCAAGGCUCAAGGGCAAGAUCACCUACGCAAUCUGCCAGGGCACCCUCUCUACUACCAGACAGGUCUCCUAGCAUGAGACCAGUAGCAGAAAGGGAUCCAAGCAUGAGUCCACCUCCUCCUCCUACGAAGAAGCGUUCAGUUCCUCCUCCACCUCCUAAGAAGAAGCAGAAGAAGUAGAAGGAGAAGCAACCAGCUGAGAAAUUACCUUAUCAUAUGACAGAUGAGGAGGUCAAGGUUGUAGCGACGGCUGAGUACAAAACAUGGAAAGAGGCUUGUAAAGAAGCAUGGAGGAAGAAACAAUCGGAGCCACCACUAGAUAAAUGUAAGCUUCGGGCUUUCAUUAGAAGAAUGGAGGCGGAGCAAAAGGAAAGAGCUAGAGAAACCUCUGCUAACUGAUUACGAAAUGCAGAUAACAAAGCAGGCAGCUCAGAAGAGGAAGAAAAGUGGGAAAUCUAUUGCUCAACUCGGAGAGCAAUCCAACCAAUUGGUUGCCCCCGCUUGUGGUGCUUUUUGAGUUUGAGAAGAACCUGAUUGAAUUCAGUAAAGAUACAAAUCUGACAGCAGCACAACUUUGAGGGGAGGAUGACAAAGAGCUCCCUGUGCCUGUCAAAUGGAAAUAUGAGUAUGGUAAAGAGCUCGUGUGGCCAUGGUUGGUGAAACAUCUCCCAACGUAGAUGUACAAGCUGCAUCAAUGGUACAUGGAGGCUACAACAAAUGGUUUUGUCGUGAUAGAAGUUCAGGUUGGUGACCAACAUUACUUAUGUGGUGAUGACAUCAUAAUGGUGGAAAUGGAGGAACUAUAUAUGCUAUACAAUCAAGAUGUACUAAACAAGUCACUAAUCAGUUGCUGGAUCCUGUAAGUCUUUAGUAUAUUCCUCAAACUUCAAAAUCCCCGCUCUAAUCAAUUUGCGAUGUCUUAACUCCUAUUCGAUUUUGUAUCAUACAGGAUGAAGAUGCAAACUUGUCACAGGAUGGGAUACCAGGAUGUAGGCUUCAUGGACCCCGAAAUUAUUUUCCAGGCAAAUCUAAGGGAUAAACCAAAUCGAACCUUGAAGAAUAUAUUUAAGUUCCUCGAUAAGCAUUAGGAUAAGAAGUAAAUAUUACUACCGUGGAACUUCGAGUGAGCAUUUUUCUCAUCUCUAUCUUUUCCGAACUUGCAGUUAAACAUAAUACUAACUAGCUUCAAUUUGGAUGCACAGCUACCAUUGGAUACUCCUUGUUAUUAUGCCUGCUUGGAGCUUCGUGUAUGUCUUCGACUCUUUGAGGAAACCAAAAGAAAAAUACGCUGACAUCAUGAACGGUCUGAACAAAUGCUGGGCUCGAUUCCGUCAAACUCACAAGGAUGAUUUCAAGGAGCAACUUGUUUAGAAGACAGAUUUCUCGGCAUGUGUUUAAUUUUCACAUCUUGUGACAGAUUUUGAAACAGUGCUAGUAAGUUCGGUAUAUUAAGAUGGCAUGGUUUUCUGCGCACAAGUACCUGAUAACCUUCAGUACUGCAUUGUUCCACUAAAAUCUGCAUCUCGUGUUCUACUAAAAUCUGAAUCUAGUGUUCUACUAAAAUCGUAUUGAGUCUCAGUCACUUUUUUUGAAAAAAAUCUAAAACCAAAUCGUCUAAGGCCGUAGCAUAGCUAGCCAAUAAGAACAAUUUACAAAACGUAUCAAAGGAAAUUUUGGACUUGCUGAAGUUGCAGUUUCUUUGAUGCUACGUUACCAACUAACAAGGCAAGUAGAAAAUCCACCUAGGGAAAUCAUGAUUCCACAUAGGACAUCACCAGUGACAAGCUAAGGCCGUUAUGAUUAACAUCCAAUAGAAAGAGACAGCAACUGACCUACGCAAGCAAGUAUGCAAAAAUCGCUUUGCAUGCCAAAGAUUCUCUCCAAUAUUCAUCCGUGAUCAGUCUAACCUUUUCUGAUAGGAGAGAAAAGAAGACAAGUUUUUUUUCUUUCGAAAAUGAGCAGAUUAAUUUAUUUAACAGAACAUGAAUUUGAACUAACUAAACUGAUCCUAUACCUGUAAAGUGGAACUUUCUUGCCUCCCCUAAUAAUGAAAUGCUGAAAUUUGUGUAAUUUAGAAUGAGCCCACAUCUAGUUCUAAAUGGAUAUACCACCAUGAAAUGCUUGCUUAAUCUCUUACCUGAGUAAAAAUUGCCUUUGCUUUUGAAACACCCAUGCGAAUACCAAUCUCCUGUGGUGCAAAACUAUCUGCUAUUGAUACGACAACAAAGCCACCAAGGACGAUUGCCAAAUAUAUGAUGACCGCAUUGCAUGUCAUAGGCAUGUCUAUUGCCAUCCGAUCCCCUUUCUGGAACAUGGUAUCUAGUGCAUUUGCAACAGCUCUGAAAAUCGACAUAGCAACAAAGCCGUGAUGAAGAAUAAUUCACAGAUGCAAAUAUUGUAUGCUUCUAACUCUUAGUUCAGGAGUAAAAACAUAGAUCACUUCGACUACGAAGCUCCUUCAGUGACAUACGGUUCACUGGAUGAUCAUCAAGACCUUCAUCCCUCCAAACAAUAGCAGUACUGUCAUCUGUCCUCUUCAAGGAAGGGCAAGGUAGCAGACAGCAUUCGGCAAUGUUGAGCACCACUCCUUGAAGCCAAGUUCCCCCUUUCUUUGAUCUAUCUGACGUACAUAGAAUUGCCUUUGGUUCUUGUUGAAACUUGAGUGCGAGCUGCUUUAGCACCAUUGACCAGUAGACCUGAAAGGGGAAUCACCUAGGAGGCUAGGAUCAUACUGUUGGAUCCAAAAUAAAGAACGGAGAACUUCUGAAGUGUCUUUUUUUUGUCUGUUGACUCAUACAUGGAGUAUUUUAUUGUAUUAAUUUAGAGCAACUGACCUCUUGAUUUUCUACUGAAAACCUGUAAAAGUGCCAUGAUGAUUUUAACAGCUUCGGUCUAUUUGCUUCCAUCAAUCUCCCCAGGUUCUUUGCUUACUGUCAAAUCCUGCACCAACCGAAACGCUUGUGCUACUAAUUAAUGCCGUACAGCAUACUCGGUAGAGGUACAACCAAGAGCAUCUACAGCCUAGCUCUGUUAAUCAUUCUCUAAAGCCUGUCAAUCUCACUGAAUUGGUUAGGCACGCAGCACUAAGAAAUGAUGCUAUCAGCUGCUUGAUACACGCUUGAAAUUUGCAGUGCAUGUUACGGUUACAUCACACAACAGUCAAGGCCGUUCAACCAAAUCAACAAUAGCAUCAAGAUUCACUUAGCCGGCUACCUGGGCUGCUGUAGGAGCUGCUGUAUCCCUGUCCGUGGUGGCUUCGGAUGGCCUUGAGGGGCCAAGCGCUGCCGCACGGGAGUCUGCGCUGCUUCAGGCCUCAAGCGCUAGCCUCCCUCCCUUGCCGAGUCGGCAUCGCCGCCGCCAGCUCCGGCAAGCCGCCGUGCAUCCCCGCCGUCACCCCUCUUUGACCGCCACUCCGCGCCACCGCGGCCUCCCCGCUCCCGAUGCACCCGCUCCCCCACGUCCUACGCCGCUGCUUCCACCCGCCCCCGCUCCUCCUGCUCCUCGGCCUCCCCACUCCCGCAUCGGGUGUCAAUUAAUUGGAGUCAUUACCCGUAUCCGUAUCCCGAGUUUUAAGCUCACGAUUUUUGGUGUAAAUUGGUGAGGUGGGAUUAUACCUGGUGGGCGGCUUGCAAUCCCCGCCGCCUCCGGGCGCGCGACGCUCCGGCUGCCACUCCGUCACGCUGGAGGCCACGGAGCGCGCGCUGGAGCCGUUCCCACCGCUGGUGUUCGCGGGCAAGGCGCGGAAGCUGGAGGAGCAGCUCGGGGAGGCGGCCUUGGGCCAGGCGUUCCUCCUGCAGGGCGGCGACUGUGCCAAGAGCUUCAAGGAGUUCAGCGCCAACAACAUCCGUGACACAUUCCGGCUCAUGCUGCAAAUGGCCAUCAUGGCCCUGGCCGCCCGCGGCCCUACACGCACGGCGACCCCGAGGGGGAGCCCGGCCGGAGCAAAUGGCCUCCGAGGCAGCGGUGCAGCGUGGCCGCCCCGUCCACCACGCGCCGCCGGAGCUCGCUUGACCUCGUCUCCGCAGUCCGCACCCGUGGUCGGGCCACCCUCCCUCCUCCCCCUCUCCACGGCCGCGGCUGAGCCCAGGACACCGGCCGCUGCACCACUGACGCUGCCGGCCGCCCGCGCCCAAUCUUCCUCGUUACGGAGGAAGACUUGCGGAAGGGAAUAGGACUACAGGUUGAUUACUAAAAACUUGAGGGGGUUUUUUGAAAAAUGAUCACGACGGUUGAAGGAUUGAAAGAAACGUCCCCUCUUUAAUAUUAAGGUAUAGAUAUAGAUAUAGAUAUAUAUUAGGCCCUUGUUUAGUUCACCUCCAACUUUCAACUUUGGCACUAUGCAAAAAGAAGAUUCCCUAUCACAUCAAACUUACGGUACAUGCAUGGAGUACUAAAUUUAGAUGAAAAAUUAAAAACUAAUUGCACAGUUUUGUUGUACUUUGCGAGACGAAUCUUUUGAGUCUAAUUAGUCAAUGUUUGGACAAUAAUUCACAAAUACAAACGAAACGCUACAGUGUGCUACAGUGCCAUCACAGUAAUUUUGGCACUCCCAAUUUUGGCAACUAAACAAGACCUAGGUAUUAGAUAUAGAGCCAACUCAGUCUUAAAUGGGCACCAGGCCUGUUGAUAGCCAUGUGCGAGAUGGGGAACCGAACAGGGCGUCCAAAAAAGUCGGGCCUCCAAAUUGCUAAUCUGUUUCUCUGCUGGACUUCACGCGGCUGUAUAUCCUGUUCACCAAGCUGUUGUCGACAAUAUGCUGCCAGUUGUGGAACUUCUGAUGAUAUAAGUUUCUCCAAGAUUUAUAAGAUUAUUGCUCAUUCGAAUUUCAACAGCACUAGAAAUGAUGUCUCGGUGAAGAUUAAUUAUGAAGAUAUAAUUAGGUCAUGUUUGGCUCCCCUGCUAAAGUUUAGCACCUGUCACAUCGGAUGUUUAGAUACUUAUUAGGAGUAUUAAACGUAGGAUAAUUAAAAAACUAAUUGCACAGAUGGAGUCUAAUUCGCGAGACGAAUCUAUUAAGCCUAAUUAGUCCAUGAUUUGACAAUUUGGUGCUACAGUAAUCAUUUUCUAACGAUGGAUUAAUUAGCUUAAUAGAUUCGUCUCGCAAAUUAGCCCAGGGGUUCUGCAAUUAGUUUUAUAAUUAGCUCACGUUUAGUCCUCUAACAGCAUCCGAACGUUCGAUGUGACACUGCUAAAGUUUAGCAUCUAGUAUCCAAACAUCUCCUUAGAAAUAUCAUCUUAAGAAUACCAGAUGGAUGAUACGUUUUAAUAGAACAUGUGGUCAGUACUUAUGUUGUUUUUUCUAUCCUAAUAUUGAAUAUAUGUUUAAAUAUUGUAUGAAAUAACACAUACUAAAGUUAAAAAAUGGGUGAAAGUAUACCUAAGUUAUAUUAGAGAUUUUUUUUUCAAAAAUUAGGACUAUAUUUUGCAUUUCGCUCCGGAACCUCAAAGUUCGGAAACGUCCCUCAUAGGCACAUACAACAAGUACAUGUGCCACGUAGUCUAACGAUGGAGGGAAGUGGGAAGACGUGCCAUUGUGCAGGGUUCAGAUGUCAACAAGUCAACAAAGCGAACGAUAGGGAGCUUUCUAUCAUGGGAUCUAUUUGUUUGAGGUGCAGCUUUUGAUCUUUUCUAAAAAGUUGUUGUUGGCUUUUCUAUUCUGAAAAAUUAAUACGAACUUUUAGAAGAUGCGUUUAGCUUCUUAAGGUGAGAAAGCUGCAAAAAAACUCAUAAAUUGAGCUUUCCAUCUCUCCAUAUAAAUUCAGCUUUUUUGAGCUUUCAGCUUUUCAGAAGGUAUAUGAGAAGUUUACUGUUUGUUCGAGCUCCUGACUUUUCACGUUGAAAAGCUGCUAGAAAGCUCGAACAAACAGGCUCAUAGGCUAGCGCCAACGAUGCUUGGGCGAAGAUGUUAGAGUGUGGACACAGAACCUCUUUGCUGCAAGGAGCAGAGUUGGAGUGGGUAUGCUGCAGCUUGCUCAUCGUCGGCGGCUUGGCGCUAUCGAUAUCCUCCAAUAUGAGAUACUUGAAAUCGCUUGAUUUGGCUUAAGGUUGGCACUUGUACGUGGUUUGAGGUUUUUGUUUGAGCUUCUUAGCAGUUUCUUAUCGUAAAAAGUCACUAGAUUUGUGCUUAAACAAAUCGUAAACUUCUCGUGCAGCUUCUGAAAAGCCAGAAGCUCAGAAAAGCUGAGUUUAUAUGGAAAGUUGAGAAGCUCAAUUUACUCAACUUUUCAUAGCUUUUUGAGUCCAGAAAGCUAAAUACAAAAGUUAGUAUUACCUUUUUAAAAUUAUAAAACCAGCAGUAUGUUUCAGAAAAGUUCAAAAAGUUGCAGCUAGUGUUUGGAAGGAGGGGCUAAAGUUUAGCUCCCGUCACAUCGAAUAUUUGGACACUAAUUAGGAGUAUUAAACCUAGACUAAUUAUAAAAUUAAUUACACAACCUCUAGACUAAAUCGCGAGACGAAUCUAUUAAGCCUAAUUAGUCCAUGAUUUGACAAUGUGGUGCUACAGUAACCAUUCACUAAUGAUGAAUUAUUUAGGCUUAAUAGAUUCGUCUCGCGAUUUAGUCUAGAGGUUCUGCAAUUAGUUUUGUAAUUAGCUCAUAUUUGGUCCUCCUAAUUAGUAUCCGAACAUCCGAUAUAAUAGGGCUAAAAUUUAGCCCUGAUAGCUAGACGCCCCGCUAAGGCAGGAGGCUUGAAGGUUGGAUCGACUUCUGACUUCUCCAUGCCGAGCCAGCUCGUUAACUUUACAAGCUGGGCCGAGCCGAACCGGCUCGACUUCCGGCUCGACUUCCAGCCGAGUCGGCUACUCGUCGCCUUCCCAAAUCCCAACCCGAUCCGAUCCGAUCCCCUCCCUGUCCGUCGCAUUUCAUCUCCCUCCCGCCGCCGCGAAAUCCGUCGCUGCAAACGCAACUCCGCACUCCCAACCGCGGGUGGAGCCUAGAUCCUUUGCCGCUCGUGCUCCGUGGCCUCCCUGCACUCCCAACCGCCGCCGGUGCUCUGCCGUCGCCAUAUCUGAGAGAGACGGCCGGACGAGGCCCUCCUCCGCGACAUCUCGACGUCGAGAGGUCGAUUCGGUGGCGGCCGCUGGUCCGCGGCUUCCAGCCAGGGCGGCGGUUUUCAGGGAAGGCUCAUAUUUUUUUUAACUUACUCGGUUCGAUUGCUCUAGUGCCUAAAUCGAACCUUUCCUUGUUUAUUAUCCCCUCGAUUCGUUUUGCAUCCACAUUGGAGCUGCCGUUCUGGCACCGGACUCGGUAACCGAGCACCACAAAGAUUCACCCAGCUCCACAUAUCCCUGCUACCGUGGCGUACCGAUUCUCACGGCAGAAACCUGACCCGUGAUUGCUGCACGAGCGGCAGAGGGGGCGAGGGGCCAUAGGGUGCGGAGACUUGGCUUGAUUGUUGGGGCGACGGACAUGGGGAUACUGGAGCAGAUGAAGGCUCUGUCCGUCGAGGGGCAGCCUCAAGUCCAGAUAACUCGUAAGCAUCCUGGUGUCUGUUUGCUCGCGUUACUUAUCUGCAUGAUUAGUGAGUGCUGUCAUAUGAGAUAUCAAUUAUUAUUUACAAUUUUUCUACAUCUGUUUCUGGGAUAGAAGUAGCCACGGGACUGGUCGAAUUAAGUAAAUUCAUGUGGCCUGGCUAGGUUUCGAACAAAGAUCCCUCUACGCUGAUGAUUUUGUGCAGAGACACAUGUUUGAGGUGAUUGUGCGCAUAGAGAUUUAAUUUUUAGGUAACAUUGCGUAUAAAGGAUCUCAUGGAACCUAGGUUCUGUCUGCUCAACUGUUGUCGAGUAGAAGUUUAAGCAUCAUCUAAGCCAAGUGCUGCGCAUGUGCAAUUGUGUUCGUGUUUGCUGUUUUCCUUGCCAUUGUACCUUCUGUCUCAUGACAUUCCUGAUUUGCGGGUGAUGGAUCAAAUUGUUCGGCAUCUCAAAUAAUGGUAUCACCUAGUCUAGAAGGAGAUAUUUCGCAUUGCGUCGAAACAAUGGGAUCACAGGUCCAGCUUCCAGAGGUAUGAGAUGAUAUCAUGUAAGUUAUUAGGAUGAAUCAGUUUUUCUCAGAGCACUAUAUAGCAAGUGAUAGAACUAACCACCCCCACUGUCAUUACUGCUAGCUUGGUGGUGGAAUUUUGGAUUAUAAGAACUUGGUAGUGCAUCUGACAUUCACACUAUGAGGUCCAGGGUUGUACAAUGGUCCAUGGUUGAUGUUUUUGAAUUGUCGUUACCUUGCCUUAUCAUCUUAUGAUGGUUGUUGCUUGUGAAUUUUUUUUAUGUUAUACCUGCUGAAAAUGAGGAUACCCCCAGGAUAGUGUCAAGGACGUCGAGUCCUCGACUGGCCGGACCGCGACUACGGAGCUCGUAGCCGUCGGCCGUCUUCUCCGGUGAGGUUAUACCCCUCAACCGUAGGCUUUAGGAGACAAGGGAGAUAGGAUAUAUAAUUCUUGCUUAAUUGAUCUCACGAGUACAGCAGCUUAUAUAUGGCCAAUGGCCUAAACAAAACAUAGAAAGUAAAGCUAAGUUUCCAUCCUUAGUCACUAGAGUUUGAUUCCAGCAGCGCUUGAUCCGCACGCUCGGCAGCGCGGCGUAUGUCGCGGGCCCGACGGCGCCUGCCGUAUGUACGCCCGUACAUGACAUCUCCCCCUGCCUCGAAGUCCAGCUCGUCCUCGAGCUGAAAUGAAGGAUACCGAGCACGGAAAUCGUCCAAAUCCUCCCAUGUGGCCGACUCCGGAGGUUCACCUUGCCAUUCGACGAGGACUUGACGGACGCCACGGGCAAGACGAGCGCGUGUCACCUGACUUGGAGUAGGCACCACCGCACCAUGUAGAAGUGGAGGCAACAAUGGGGGUGCGGAUGGUGGAACGCCGACGAACUUUUUUAGAACACUGACGUGGAAGACAUCAUGAAUACGAGCCCCGGGAGGAAGCAGGAGCCGGACAGCUACCUCAUUGAUAAGCUCCGCGACUUGAUAUGGCCCGACGAAUUGCGGCUUGAGCUUCCCUGUGACAGAACGUGGAAGAGACGCGGCCGCCCGCUGCCGUAGACGAAGAAGAGCCCAGUCACCGACCUGGAAGGAGACCGCCCUGUGAUGCUGGUCGUAGACACGUUUCUGGGCCGCCUGUGCCUGCUCGAGACGAUAGCGGAUGUCCUCAAGAAAAGCGGAGCGCUCCUCCAUUUCCUGGGCGACGGCGGCGACACGGGUGUCCCCAGGCUCAUAGGAACGAAUGGACGGAGGAUCCCGGCCAUACACCACACGGAAUGGAGUGUCGCGGAGGGACGUCUGAUACGCCGUGUUGUAGAUGUACUCGGCCCAGGGCAACCAUCUGAGCCACUGCCGGGGACGAUCACCAGUGAAGCACCUCAAGUACAUAACAAUCACCCGGUUGGCCGCCUCAGUCUGGCCGUCCGUCUGGGGAUGGAAAGCAGACGACAUGAAGAGCUUGGUCCCUGUAAGCCGCAUGAGUUCGCGCCAAAACGCUGAGGUGAACACCGGAUCGCGGUCCGAUACGAUGGACUGCGGCACGCCAUGGAGACGAACAAUGUCGGCGAAGAAGACGUGGGCGACGGACUCGGCCGUGUAGGGGUGCGCCAAGGGAAUAAAAUGGCAGUACUUGCUAAAACGAUCCACGAGAGAAAGAAUGACCGUCUUGCCUUGUACCUUGGGAAGGGCCUCGAUGAAGUCGAUGCCGAUGUCAGCCCAUACGGUCGAUGGAACGGGCAAAGGCUGAAGGAGUCCGGCCGGCCUGAGAUGAUCGGACUUGUACUGCUGACAAGUGACGCAUGCCUUCACGAAGUCCUGCACCAACCGGCGCAUGGCAGGAAAGUGGAAGUCCCGACGGAGCCGGUGGAGGGUACGGUGAACGCCUUCAUGGCCAUCAUUGUGGACGGCGGCCACAAUCUCUGGCAGCAGCGGGGACGCCGAGGGAAUGUACAAACGGCCAUCGAAGGCAAUCAUGCCGUCCAGCAGUGCCCACGGCGUGGUGCGGGUGCCAGCCUGAAUUUCGUCGUGGAUGGCGACCAAGGCGGGAUCAGUGGCCUGGGCGUGGCGGAGACGCUCGAUGAAGUCGAAACGGGGUGCCGAAACAGCCAUCAAUUCCCCGGCGUCAUCAUCGCGACGGGACAGGGCGUCGGCGACGACAUUUGUGGCGCCCGAGCGGUACUCCACCGAGAAAUCAAAGCCCAGGAGCUUGCCGACCCAAUGAUGCUGAGGGAUAGUGGCGAGGCGUUGGUCGAGCAGGUACUUCAAGCUGUAGUGAUCGGUGCGGACGGCGAAGCGCCGGCCCCAGAGGUAUGGCCGCCAGUGCCUAAUGGCCUGGACGAGACCGAUGAGCUCGCGCUCAUAAGCAGCCAGCGAGCGGUGGCGAGGAGCCACAGGCCGGCUGUAGAAGGCUACAGGGUGGCCUUCCUGGACAAGAACAGCACCAAAGCCGACGGACGACGCGUCGCACUCCACGGUGAACAUCUUGGUGAAGUCGGGCAUGGCGAGGACAGGAGCAGAAGUGACGGCUGCCUUGAGCGCGGUGAAUGCCGCCACAGCCGCGUCGUCCCAAGAAAAGCCUUCCUUCUUGAGAAGGGCCGUCAGGGGAGCCGCAAUUGCCCCGUAAUUGUGGACGAACUUGCGGUAAUACCCGGCGAGGCCGAGGAAGCCGCGCACCGCCCUGGGUGAACGUGGAGGAGGCCAAUCGUGGAUGGCCUGCACCUUGGCAGGGUCCAUGGCCACGCCUGCCGCUGAGAUGACAUGGCCGAGGUAUGCGACGGACGAGGCGCCGAAGGAACACUUGCUGCGUUUGACGAACAGCUGGUGGCGGCGGAGUUCAUCGAGGACGGCCCGAAGAUGGCGAAGAUGAUCAGCCCAUGUCCUGCUAUAGAUCAGAAUAUCGUCAAAAAAUACGAGGACGAAACGACGGAGGAACAGCCGGAGCACGUCGUUCAUCAGAGCCUGGAAUGUUGCCGGAGCGUUGCACAGGCCGAACGCCAUCACCAGAAACUCGUAUAGGCCGUCGUGGGUACGGAAUGCCGUCUUGUGAAUGUCUUCCGGGCGCAUGCGCACCUGAUGGUACCCCGAGCGCAGGUCCAGCUUGGUGAAAAACUUGGCGCCGUGCAGUUCGUCGAGGAGCUCGUCGACCACCGGGAUCGGGAAAGCGUCCUUGACGGUGAGGGCGUUCAGCGCCCUGUAGUCGACACAGAAGCGCCAGGACCCAUCGGGCUUCUUGACGAGGAGGACGGGCGACGAAAAAGGGGAAUCACUGCGGCGGACGAUGCCUUGGGCGAUCAUGGCAGCACACUGCCGUUCCAGUUCAUCCUUGUGCGCCGCAGGGUACCUGUAUGGCCGUACGGCGACCGGCUGGGCGUCGGGCUUGAGGAGGAUGCGAUGAUCAUGGGUACGCUUGGGUGGGAGGCCCGCCGGUUCCGCGAAGAUGCCCUCAAAGGAGCGGAGCAGCGCCUCCAAUAGUGAACCUGCGGCUGUGGUAGCGUUCAGGGCCGGUACCGACGGGCUGUCCACGCCGGUCCAGGAGACGAAACGCCCGUGGCGCAGGAAGUGCAUGCGCCGGUGGCCAAGGUCCCAGACGAUGGGGCCCAACUCGCCGAGCCACCUGGUGCCGAGGACGACGUCGUACCCCGCCAAUGGCAUGACGUAGAGAUCGGCCGGGAACGACUCGCCGUCGAUGAUCAGGGGAGCGUUGCGGAUGACGCCGGCGCAGGAGACCCGUUCGCCAUUAGCGACCAAGGCAGUGAGACGGGGACGGGAGCGGGAGGGAAGACCGGAGCGCCGUGCUGCCUCCUCCAAUAUGAAGUUGUGCGUGCUGCCGGAGUCGAGGAGGGCGACGAGAGAUGCGGCACCGACGACCACCGCGAUCUGCAUGGUUCCGGCCACGGGCACCCCAGCUACGGCCUGUAAGGAGAAGCAUGGCGCCUCGGCCUCGCGCUCCUCGUCAUCCGCGGCGUCCACAGUGUCCUCGAGCUCCACACCUUCAAUGAAGAAGAGGCGCCUGCAAAAUCGGUUAUGGCCCCGAGUAUACUUUUCAUUACAAUUGAAACAGAGCCCCAGACGACGGCGUUCGGCCAUCUCGUCCGGAGUCAGACGCCGCGGAGUGCUCUCGCUGCGGCCUGUCUGGCCGGCCAUCGGAGGGGCGGGGAGGGCCAGCGGUUGGUGUGGCGCCGGCAGGGCGGCCCUGGGAACGGGCGCGGGCAGAAGGGCGCGCUGCGGUGGCCGGUGAGGUUGCGGCGCCGGACGUUCGGCCUCCAUGAGUUCCACCUGACGCGCCAGGCUCAUAGCAGCCGCUAGCGUUGCUGGAUUGUGGAGGCGGACGGCGUGGCUGAGCGGCGGUAGAAGACCCCCGGUGAAGAGCUGCACACGUUGGGCCUCAUCCAGCCGGCCGGCGCGAGACAGGAGGGCCUGGAAGCGAUUGGAGUAGUCCUCCACCGUCCCUGUACACCGGCACUCAGCAAGCUCGAAUAGCGGAGCCGAGCGGAGGGGAGGCCCGAAACGCAGGUGCAGUAGCUCCUUGAAACGCCCCCACGGCGGCGGUCCCUCGUCUUCCUGGAGUUGGGUGUACCAUAGCUGGGCGACAUCCUCCAGAUGAUACGAAGCCAACCACACGCGCUCCUCCGCCAUAGUACGUUGCUGACGAAAGUAAGAUUCACACCUGUUGAUGAAGAGGAGCGGAUCGGACUUGCCGUCGUACCGGGGAAAGUCCAACUUGUGAAACUUGGGGGGGCGCUCGGCGUCGCGCGGCCCCUCCGGACGGCCACCGGUGGCGCUGGUGGACGACGAGGACGGCUUUUCUUUGAUGGCCGCCAAGUCAGCCUUCAGGGUUGUUACUUCCGUGGACAGCGAUUUCAGUAGUUCCAUCACAUCGGCGAGGGACGGAUCGCCCAUGGCUGGCGGCGGCGGCGCGGCAGUCGAAGCCGACGGUGGGGAUCGUGGAGGGUUUGGGUGGGAAUUGGCGGCGGCCGAAGAGUUGGAGCGGGCGGGCGAGGAUCGGCGAGACCGUGAUACCAAGUUGUCAAGGACGUCGAGUCCUCGACUGGCCAGACCGCGACUACGGAGCUCGUAGCCGUCGGCCGUCUUCUCCGGUGAGGUUAUACCCCUCAACCGUAGGCUUUAGGAGACAAGGGAGAUAGGAUAUAUAAUUCUUGCUUAAUUGAUCUCACGAGUACAGCAGCUUAUAUAUGGCCAAUGGCCUAAACAAAACAUAGAAAGUAAAGCUAAGUUUCCAUCCUUAGUCACUAGAGUUUGAUUCCAGCAGCGCUUGAUCCGCACGCUCGGCAGCGCGGCGUAUGUCGCGGGCCCGACGGCGCCUGCCGUAUGUACGCCCGUACAUGACAGAUAGCACAAUUCAAUACUGUAUUUUUUAAAACAGAACACAUUUAGCUAAUUCGAUCGUAAUUUGUCCAUACUGCUCACUUCAGACAAGCAUUAUUACCACAACCAUCUUGUGAUGUUCGUUAUUUUUCUCAUGCUUUUUUUUUUGAAAAAUUUCCCAUGGUUAUUUUCACAGGACAUUCUUCAUCAAAUACACGCCCUCAUGCCAUUGCGAGAUGCUGCUCAGGCCGCCUGCGUGUCUCGUGGUUUUCUGCGUUCUUGGAGAUGCUUUCCAAAUCUCAUUAUUUCUGUUGAUUCUCUAGGGAUUAAUGAAAACACAUCUAAUGAUGAAAUAAAAAGGGAUUUCGUAUGUAGAGUUGACCACAUUAUGCAGAAUCACUCUAGCAUGGGAGUGAAGAGGUUUGUAAUGGAAACCUACCCUUGUUCGAAUCUCCAACCUAGUUAUGUUGACCGCUGGCUUCAAUGUGCCAUUACACCUGGGAUCAAAGAAAUCUAUCUAUCAAUGUUUAGUUGUGGGAUAAAGUACAACUUCCCAGGAUUACUUUUAUUUAGUAGGGAGAUAAGAAGCUCCAUCCAGACUUUUGUGCUUGGGGAUUGUUCUUUUCGCUGUGCAGCCCAAGUUGGUUAUAUGAGUAGCCUGACAAAUUUGGCAUUGCAUUCAGUACACAUUACUGGAGAGGAACUAUAUGGUUUUCUAUCCAAUUCUUGUGCUGUGGAGCAACUAAGGCUUACCAACUGCAAUGAUAUAAUUUGCUUGAAGAUACCUUGUCUGCUGCAGAAGCUUGAUAUCCUGCAUUUGGUGGGUUGCAGUAAGCUGGAAAUGAUUGACAGCAAUGCCCCUAACCUCUCCACUUUCUUCUUUGCUGGGCGCCCAAUACAUAUCUUGCUUGGCGAAGCAUUGCAAGUGAGAAAAAUAAGUUUUUUCCGUGACUUUUCACCUGAUGCGCUAUAUUAUGCUAGUACCAAAUUUCCAUUCAUCGCGCCAAAUCUCCAAACUCUUGUGCUAUCAACAAGUGAUGAGGUCAGUUUUAUCCGUCCCAAUAAGUUCAUUGUUCUGGAAAUGAAACUGAUGGUAGAAUAAUAGUUUUAUGUUUACAAUACUCAAUUACUCAGUCCACAAUUAAUCUUCGGGGGACAUUUAUUUCU